rnacentral:rRNA from 1 species
GAUGAACGCUGGAGGCGUGCCUAAUACAUGCAAGUCGAGCGAACGGACGAGAAGCUUGCUUUUCUGAUGUUAGCGGCGGACGGGUGAGUAACACGUGGAUAACCUACCUAUAAGACUGGGAUAACUUCGGGAAACCGGAGCUAAUACCGGAUAAUAUUUUGAACCGCAUGGUUCAAAAGUGAAAGACGGUCUUGCUGUCACUUAUAGAUGGAUCCGCGCUGCAUUAGCUAGUUGGUAAGGUAACGGCUUACCAAGGCAACGAUGCAUAGCCGACCUGAGAGGGUGAUCGGCCACACUGGAACUGAGACACGGUCCAGACUCCUACGGGAGGCAGCAGUAGGGAAUCUUCCGCAAAGGGCGAAAGCCUGACGGAGCAACGCCGCGUGAGUGAUGAAGGUCUUCGGAUCGUAAAACUCUGUUAUUAGGGAAGAACAUAUGUGUAAGUAACUGUGCACAUCUUGACGGUACCUAAUCAGAAAGCCACGGCUAACUACGUG